rnacentral:lncRNA from 1 species
ACAGAGCACUCUGUGUCGCUUAGUUUGAGCCUUCCUCCCUGGGGCUCCGAGGUCAAGAGCAGGUCGGUUUACGUACUUAACGGUGCAGCCUUUGCAGGCUCUGAGUGGCAGGGAACCUGGGUUCUUGGCCCAACUGGUGGCGCAGUCUGGAUGGAGGCUUCGGUGCCUCUGUGGAGCAACGUAAGGCGUGGCACACGCCCCGUGCCAUUUCCAUUUCAUUCGGACUCAGAGAUCAGUUCUCACCAAAGCAGUCGUCAAUACCAAAUCUGGUCAGCUUGUGUCUUAACUACGGCCACAUCAGAAUUUCAGCCAGUAUUAGAAGGAAGGGUCCUUGCGCGGUCGGUCUACUGAAGUCGCUCCUCUGCAGAGCCUGGGAUAGGACAACGCGCGCCGGCCCGCUUUACGGCAGAGGUGUGCGCUUUUGCGACAGCAUGACGCAAGCAGGUUUUGGCGGGAAAAGCUGUGCAUUUGGAUUCCUGUGGCAGCUGGCAAAGGACUGCUUGAGUUCAACUUGCUGUGAAUAGAAUAACUGAAGAAGCUGUUGCAGUGAAAAUUGUAGACAUGAAGCGGGCCAUAGACUGUCCAGAAAAUAUUAAGAAAGAGAUCUGCAUCAAUAAAAUGUUAAGCCACGAGAAUGUAGUGAAAUUCUAUGGCCACAGGAGGGAAGGCCAUAUCCAGUAUCUGUUUCUGGAGUACUGUAGUGGAGGAGAACUUUUUGAUAGAAUUGAGCCAGACAUAGGGAUGCCUGAACAAGAUGCUCAGAGGUUCUUCCACCAACUCAUGGCAGGGGUGG